rnacentral:rRNA from 1 species
UACGGGGGGAGCAAGCGUUGUUCGGAUUUACUGGGCGUAAAGGGCGCGUAGGCGGCCACGACAAGUCACUUGUGAAAUCUCCGGGCUUAACUCGGAACGGUCAAGUGAUACUGUCGGGCUAGAGUGCAGAAGGGGCAACUGGAAUUCUCGGUGUAGCGGUGAAAUGCGUAGAUAUCGGGAGGAACACCAGUGGCGAAGGCGACUUCCUGGCCUGUUCUUGACGCUGAGGCGCGAAAGCUAGGGGAGCAAACGGG